rnacentral:lncRNA from 1 species
UUCUCAAUCGUCGAGGUCGAUUGAUCGAAGUAUCUAACUAUCGAAGAGAAGAAGAAGAAGAAGCUUCAUAGUUCACAGUCGGCAACUCGGCGUGGAUUCGGGACGAAGAUAAGAAGCUUCAGUGCUUCACAGUCGUCGUCGUCGUCUUCACAAUCGAACUAUCGAACUCUCUUAGACUCUUACUCUUAGACUCUCUGCUCUCAAGACUCAAAGUCUUAGUCUCAAUUUACAGAUCUAGAUCUAGAAAAAAAAAAUUGCAAC